CUCGAAUAGCUUAGGGUUUCAGAGAAAGUCUAGAAGUGAUAAAGUGCUGGAAGAAGGUCCGAUCUUGAGUAGGAGAGGUCAGGAAUUAGGUUCCUAAGUCUUGAAUAUGCCAGAGCAUGGUCGGAGAAGCCAUGGAACCAAAGAUCUGAGAAGAUCGGAGAGAUAACCAUUGAGGUCGGGUCUCGAAGUUUCGAACAACCAUGGUUUACUGGUGAAGGGAGGUGAGUACCAACCAGCCAUGACCUGAGAAGCCAUGGAUUCCGGUGAAAGGCGGUUGAAAGGAUAAGAGGCGGCUAGGGUUUCGGAGAGCUUGAGAGAGUUUGGGAUUCAAAGGCGGCAGAUUAGGUGAAAUGGGGAAUUAGGG
rnacentral:lncRNA from 1 species